rnacentral:tmRNA from 1 species
UUUAAUCUUAUGAAGCUACUGGAACCGACGCCCGUCGAUGGGCCACGCGGGAAUAGGAAUAAUUCAUCCGUCGACUGCACCCGGAGAUUGUCCCGGAGGACGAGGUUUCGGACAGGAGUUCGAUUCUCCUCAUCUCCACCA